UACGAAGGGUGCAAGCGUUAAUCGGAAUUACUGGGCGUAAAGGGUGCGUAGGCGGUUCGUUAAGUCUGUCGUGAAAUCCCCGGGCUCAACCUGGGAAUGGCGAUGGAUACUGGCGAGCUAGAGUGUGUCAGAGGAUGGUGGAAUUCCCGGUGUAGCGGUGAAAUGCGUAGAGAUCGGAAGGAACAUCAGUGGCGAAGGCGGCCAUCUGGGACAACACUGACGCUGAAGCACGAAAGCGUGGGGAGCAAACAGG
rnacentral:rRNA from 1 species